UACGGGGGGGGCAAGCGUUGUUCGGAAUUACUGGGCGUAAAGGGCUCGUAGGCGGCUAACUAAGUCGGACGUGAAAUCCCCAGGCUCAACCUGGGAACUGCGUCCGAUACUGGAUGGCUUGAAUCCGGGAGAGGGAUGCAGAAUUCCAGGUGUAGCGGUGAAAUGCGUAGAUAUCUGGAGGAACACCGGUGGCGAAGGCGGCAUCCUGGGCCAACACUGACGCUGAGGAGCGAAAGCUAGGGGAGCAAACAGG
rnacentral:rRNA from 1 species